GCAAGCGUUAAUCGGAAUUACUGGGCGUAAAGCGCACGCAGGCGGUUUGUUAAGUCAGAUGUGAAAUCCCCGGGCUCAACCUGGGAACUGCAUCUGAUACUGGCAAGCUUGAGUCUCGUAGAGGGGGGUAGAAUUCCAGGUGUAGCGGUGAAAUGCGUAGAGAUCUGGAGGAAUACCGGUGGCGAAGGCGGCCCCCUGGACGAAGACUGACGCUCAGGUGCGAAAGCGUGGGGAGCAAACAGGAUUAGAUACCCUGGUAGUCCACGCCGUAAACGAUGUCGACUUGGAGGUUGUGCCCUUGAGGCGUGGCUUCCGGAGCUAACGCGUUAAGUCGACCGCCUGGGGAGUACGGCCGCAAGGUUAAAACUCAAAUGAAUUGACGGGGGCCCGCACAAGCGGUGGAGCAUGUGGUUUAAUUCGAUGCAACGCGAAGAACCUUACCUGGUCUUGACAUCCACGGAAGUUUUCAGAGAUGAGAAUGUGCCUUCGGGAACCGUGAGACAGGUGCUGCAUGGCUGUCGUCAGCUCGUGUUGUGAAAUGUUGGGUUAAGUCCCGCAACGAGCGCAACCCUUAUCCUUUGUUGCCAGCGGUCCGGCCGGGAACUCAAAGGAGACUGCCAGUGAUAAACUGGAGGAAGGUGGGGAUGACGUCAAGUCAUCAUGGCCCUUACGACCAGGGCUACACACGUGCUACAAUGGCGCAUACAAAGAGAAGCGACCUCGCGAGAGCAAGCGGACCUCAUAAAGUGCGUCGUAGUCCGGAUUGGAGUCUGCAACUCGACUCCAUGAAGUCGGAAUCGCUAGUAAUCGUGGAUCAGAAUGCCACGGUGAAUACGUUCCCGGGCCUUGUACACACCGCCCGUCACACCAUGGGAGUGGGUUGCAAAAGAAGUAGGUAGCUUAACCUUCGGGAGGGCGCUUACCACUUUGUGAUUCAUGACUGGGGUGAAGUCGUAACAAGGUAACCGUAGGGGAACCUGCGGUUGGAUCACCUCCUUACCUUAAAGAA
rnacentral:rRNA from 1 species